rnacentral:lncRNA from 1 species
AAAGGAUCUGCAUUGAGAAAUGGUUCAGUGAUGGGCAUGAAACCUGUCCAAAGACUCAACAAAAGCUUUCUCAUCUCUGCUUGACUCCUAAUUAUUCUGUAAAGGGUCUCGUUGCUAGUUGGUGUGAACAGAAUGGAGUCCCAGCACCUGAUGGUCCCCCUGAGUCUCUUGACCUCAACUAUUGGAGGCUGGCAAUGUCCCAGCUUGACUCCUAAUUAUUCUGUAAAGGGUCUCGUUGCUAGUUGGUGUGAACAGAAUGGAGUCCCAGCACCUGAUGGUCCCCCUGAGUCUCUUGACCUCAACUAUUGGAGGCUGGCAAUGUCCCAGUUUGACUCGUCCAAUUCAAGAAGAUCAGUGGAGAGUGUCAGAUCUGGAAAGUUGAAAGGGGUCAAGGUAGUUCCUCUGGAGGAAAGUGAUCCCAUUGAGGAGGCUGAAGAAAAAAAUGAAAAAUUGUCACCGCAACAGGAAGAUUCCAUGCCAGAAGAUGCCUUCGGGGACAAUAUAUUUGAAAUAUAUAAGAAUUUCCUGGCCAUUUUGAAUGGUGAUGAAGAGUUGAAGAAAAAAAUGAAAAAUUGUCACCGCAACAGGAAGAUUCCAUGCCAGAAGAUGCCUUCGGGGACAAUAUAUUUGAAAUAUAUAAGAAUUUCCUGGCCAUUUUGAAUGGUGAUGAAGAGUUGAAGAAGAAGUGC